rnacentral:lncRNA from 1 species
GUGGUGAGACGGGGUUUGCUUCUGCAGCCCAGGGUCAACGGCAAGGACUUUUUCCUUGCAAGACUAAUGGAGGCAGAAAGGAAGCUUGGAGUAUAAAUUCCCAGUGGAACAGUGAGGCUGAGCACAAAGGUGAGGAGUUGCACUGUACUGGUUAUUCCAGAGAGGAGAUUGAGGGUGAAAUUGAGACUUGUUGGUGUCUCUAACUCAUUCAGACAUAUUUACUGAGUGCUUACUGAGUUGAAAUCACUGUAAUAAGUGCUUGUGAAAGUA